CCGAGGACUCGUCAGUCAUCCGCUUGCAAAUAUAUAUUCGCUCCUUAACCGGGCGGCUCGGGAGCAGCCAUUUUACCUUGAGAAAAACAGAAUGUUCCAUGCAGGUUUGUCCGGACUGUCUAGAUUGGAAUAAUAGAAUAUGACUGAAGUCUAUUUAUUGGUUUGAGGCUUUCUUAAUGAUUAAUAGGAACAGUCGGGGGCAUUGGUACUUGUCUUCCAAAGGUGAAAUUCUAGGAUUUGAUCUUGACUAACAAAUGCGAAAGCAUUUGCCAAGGAUGUUUUCAUUAGAUGUUUUCAUUAAGUUAGGGGAUCAAAGACGAUCAGAUAGUCGUCAAUAGUCUUAACUAUAAACCAGGGAUCAGCGGAUGUUACGAAUCAUAAAGUUCAUUUGGGUUAUUAGGAGAAAUCAAAGUUGGGGGGUUGGGGGGGAAUGGUGGUAAGAAGGAAACUUAAAGGAAGAAUUGGAAGGGCACCACCACCAGGGGAGCGAGUGGGUGGAUUAAUUUGACUCAGCGGAGGGAAACUAGGUCCGGCCAUAGGAAGGAAGGACAGACAGAGAGAUAGUUCUUUAUUGAAUGGGUGAGGGGGCAUGCACGUUCGUUGUUGGUUAGGGAUUGAUUUGUUUGGUUAAUUCCGUUAACGAGACCUCCGCUUACUUGCUAACUAGUAGGAGGAUCCAAAUGUACCAACUUCUUAGAGGGACUAUGCC
rnacentral:rRNA from 1 species